GAUAAACGCUGGCGGCGCACAUAAGACAUGCAAGUCGAACGGACUUAACUCGAAGUUUACUUUGAGAGCGGUUAGUGGCGGACUGGUGAGUAACGCGUGAGCAACCUGCCUACUACAGGGGGAUAACAGUUAGAAAUGACUGCUAAUACCGCAUAAGACCACAGCACCGCAUGGUGCAGGGGUAAAAACUCCGGUGGUAUGAGAUGGACCCGCGUCUGAUUAGCUAGUUGGUAAGGUAACGGCUUACCAAGGCGACGAUCAGUAGCCGACCUGAGAGGGUGACCGGCCACAUUGGGACUGAGACACGGCCCAA
rnacentral:rRNA from 1 species